GCAGUCGAACGAACUCUGGUAUUGAUUGGUGCUUGCAUCAUGAUUUACAUUUGAGUGAGUGGCGAACUGGUGAGUAACACGUGGGAAACCUGCCCAGAAGCGGGGGAUAACACCUGGAAACAGAUGCUAAUACCGCAUAACAACUUGGACCGCAUGGUCCGAGCUUGAAAGAUGGCUUCGGCUAUCACUUUUGGAUGGUCCCGCGGCGUAUUAGCUAGAUGGUGGGGUAACGGCUCACCAUGGCAAUGAUACGUAGCCGACCUGAGAGGGUAAUCGGCCACAUUGGGACUGAGACACGGCCCAAACUCCUACGGGAGGCAGCAGUAGGGAAUCUUCCACAAUGGACGAAAGUCUGAUGGAGCAACGCCGCGUGAGUGAAGAAGGGUUUCGGCUCGUAAAACUCUGUUGUUAAAGAAGAACAUAUCUGAGAGUAACUGUUCAGGUAUUGACGGUAUUUAACCAGAAAGCCACGGCUAACUACGUGCCAGCAGCCGCGGUAAUACGUAGGUGGCAAGCGUUGUCCGGAUUUAUUGGGCGUAAAGCGAGCGCAGGCGGUUUUUUAAGUCUGAUGUGAAAGCCUUCGGCUCAACCGAAGAAGUGCAUCGGAAACUGGGAAACUUGAGUGCAGAAGAGGACAGUGGAACUCCAUGUGUAGCGGUGAAAUGCGUAGAUAUAUGGAAGAACACCAGUGGCGAAGGCGGCUGUCUGGUCUGUAACUGACGCUGAGGCUCGAAAGUAUGGGUAGCAAACAGGAUUAGAUACCCUGGUAGUCCAUACCGUAAACGAUGAAUGCUAAGUGUUGGAGGGUUUCCGCCCUUCAGUGCUGCAGCUAACGCAUUAAGCAUUCCGCCUGGGGAGUACGGCCGCAAGGCUGAAACUCAAAGGAAUUGACGGGGGCCCGCACAAGCGGUGGAGCAUGUGGUUUAAUUCGAAGCUACGCGAAGAACCUUACCAGGUCUUGACAUACUAUGCAAAUCUAAGAGAUUAGACGUUCCCUUCGGGGACAUGGAUACAGGUGGUGCAUGGUUGUCGUCAGCUCGUGUCGUGAGAUGUUGGGUUAAGUCCCGCAACGAGCGCAACCCUUAUUAUCAGUUGCCAGCAUUAAGUUGGGCACUCUGGUGAGACUGCCGGUGACAAACCGGAGGAAGGUGGGGAUGACGUCAAAUCAUCAUGCCCCUUAUGACCUGGGCUACACACGUGCUACAAUGGAUGGUACAACGAGUUGCGAACUCGCGAGAGUAAGCUAAUCUCUUAAAGCCAUUCUCAGUUCGGAUUGUAGGCUGCAACUCGCCUACAUGAAGUCGGAAUCGCUAGUAAUCGCGGAUCAGCAUGCCGCGGUGAAUACGUUCCCGGGCCUUGUACACACCGCCCGUCACACCAUGAGAGUUUGUAACACCCAAAGUCGGUGGGGUAACCUUUUAGGAACCAGCCGCCUAA
rnacentral:rRNA from 2 species